CUUUCUUCUGAGUGUGCAUGAAAAGAGACGGGGGGCGGACAUCCCUGGUGUCUCUUCCUCUCUUUAUGAGGCCACCAGUCCAGUUGGAUUAGGGGUCCACCCUUGUGAUCCCACUUAGCCUUAAUUACCUCAUAAAGGCCCUAUCUCCAAAUAUAGUCAUAUUGGGCGGGGGGGGGGGGGGGUUAAGACUUUAGCAUACAAAUUUGGUGGGGACACAGUUCAGUCCAUAGCAAGCCCAGACAAAAUAUAGCUGACUCACUUAGUACUUGGACCACUCCCCUUACAAGCCCUUUAUUAUUUUCAUACACCCAGGUCCAGGUGUGCCCAAGCAGCAGCUGUAUCUGUUUAUCAGAGGGCUGCCCUCGGUCCAGAAACUAUUUUGAUAGUGCAAUAAUGAAGAUUGACUUCCUUCUAGAAAUGACAGUCCUUAACCGGUGAAUGACAGGUGAGAGGGAGGUGUAAAUACUCUAGCUUCCUUGGCCCCUGGCCAGGACAGCAGUGACAGUACACAGGAAGAUCUGGAGAGAGAGUAAGUCACAUCUCAGCGUUUCCUUUCCUGGGGCUUUGCUCAGUGUUGCACCCUGUCCUGGCAUCCUCCUUUCCUUUUGGGGCCCACUUCUCAAACCCCUAACCAGUUUUUUCUGGUAAUAUUCCUUAAAUGAAUCACUCAGGGUCUGCUUCUGGGGAGUCCAACCUCAGACAACACAAGACCCAAGUGGCAAUAUUUGUUCCAACACCCAGAAUCAACCCCGCAUCCCCUCAGCUUAGAUGAUUUCUCAACAUUAUGAAGUUCAGGCAUCCUAGGUCAUUUAUUUCACAAAGAUUCUCAGAGUGAAAGAAUCUAUAAUCCUGUUACAUAAGCAUAAUAGGCAACUGUUUUUCCACUCUAUGGAGUCUUCCAGAAGAUCCCAGCUCAAAGUCAGUACCAAGGCCCUAAGGGAAAUUCUGCUUCCUCAGUCUUAAUUCAGAACAACCUAGGCCUUGGCCAAAACUUGCAAUCAAGACACCCACAAAUCACAUCAUGUUCCCCUCUCCCUGUAGCCGAGCAAAUAUGAAAGCCAACUGGGGGCUAUAUAUAGCAUUCACCAACUUUGGAAAACUUUUCAAAAAUUGUUUUAGUUUCUUUCUUAUUGUCUCCCCAGAGUCUGGUAAUUCUGGAAAGAGGCCUGUAGAUUGCCACUUGGGGAGUCCAGCAGAAAACCAAUCCUGCAACUCCAGAAAGCUGGACAGUGACCCUGCUUUUUCCUCUACUGGGAGCUGUCAGCUCUCUCCUUCCUCCUGGCCCUUGGAGCCUCAGAACUGACUCCUAUUGCUCUGCAGAGUGGGCUGCAUUGGACACAGUGCAAAGAGUAAAACCAAUGAUUCAAAUCGGGAGAACUACAGUUACUCGAGCUUCUCCUGCCUCCUAUUUACAUAAACUUCAAGAACAUCUAGUUUAGGGGAAGCAUUCGCAUUUGAUUCAACAUGACACACUCCCCAGGAAACUUUCCGCAGUGCCCACAUCACUAGAGCCUGGGCUUGCUAUGAUCACCAUGGCUCUUGGGCCAACCCUGGGAACAUUCCAAAGAUACAAGCUUGGGCCGGAAGCCUAGAGAGAAAUACCCAGAAGUCCUACAGUUUAUUCCAUCUCAAUACAUACUUCUCAGACAAGGGCUUGUAGGAAGGCAGAUAUGACAGGAAAGGAGGUCUCAGGAAAGCUCUCCAAGUCCCAAUUCUUAGUCUUAGCUUCCCAUGUUGAAGGUACUGAUGGCCUUGGAAUGGUGGACUUGGACCUGGAUUUUCAUGUACAGUUUAGUUUAUACAGAGGGUGCUUCCCAAGCUUUGUGAAGGAAAGGAGAAGCUCUGUGGGAAGGAAAAAGACGGAAGUGGGGAGAGGAAAAGAGAAGCAGCAGGUAGCAAGGUUUGCCUUGUGUAGGUCAUGACUUAUUCAAGUUUUGCUGGACAUGUGUUUUAGGGCCUUGUUUUCGCCAUCAACGCACAGAUCUGAGGGCGGCCUAGUGAGCACAUCCCCCCACCUCCCCCCACCGCAGGAGUGUUUGUGUUGGAGGCGGGAGUGUUAAAUUCCAACCUCAGCACAACUCUUGAAGACUCUGCCAGUUCAGGGGCAAGAAACCAAUUGGGUGUUGUGCCUAAGAACGUGGACCCUGUGGCCAGACUGCUUGGAUCAGUGUCCUCCCUCCACCACUUUGUAGCCAUCUGACCUCAGUGCUGGAGCAGAGGUACUGAAUGAAGAAGUGGAGUCUUGGGAUACCUUUGGAGGGAUCCAGUUAAUGGACUGGCUGCCAUAAUUGGUCUGAGACACUGGUGCAAGCAUGGAGAUGACAACACAGAUACUAUCCAGAGGGAUGACCAGGUGAAGAAUGACCAGGUGAAGACACAGAAAGAAGACCCCCUUCUACAAGCCAAGGAGAGAGGCCUCAGAAGAAACCAACCCUCACAACUCCUUGAUCUCACACUUUCAAUCUCCAGACAGCAUGGAAAUAAGUUUCUGUUCUUUAAGCCCCCCAGCCUGGGAUACUUUGUUAUGACCACCUCAGCAGAUGGACACAACCAGGUUGCAAAAGCUACUCUCUCUGCCCUACCCUCCCUUUGCCUGUCUUUUACCUUCCUUACUACCAGCUUCUUUUAAUUGAUUUUUAUCAGGGACCAAGAGACGUUUGUGAAUAUUCAAAUUAGAAUUCUUAGACAUGAGAAAAGUAUACUGGAAAAAAAAAAUCUAUUAGGAUUUCCCAUAAGGCAGACCUGCGGCAGGGGCAGGGAGUGGCCAACUUAAAAGACCCUAUAGGCAUAUCCAAACUGCGUUAUGCAUUGAGCAGGUUUUCAGGAUAAGCCCAGAAUGAGAUCAAAAUCCACCUGCCAGAUGACCUGAUGGGCCAAUGGACUGUGGGAAUCUUUUAGAGUGUUAGAUUUUCUUGAGGACAGGAUGCCCGUGAGGAAAACAGCUUGUAGAGGGGUAUCUGUAGGAAGAGAGAGAAAACACAAGAGGAUCAGAUGGGGUCUGCCGCCUUCCUCAUCUGAGCCCUUGAAAGAGAGAGAAGCUGAGGGGGUGGUUUCCGUGUGAGGCUUUGCUUCCAAGCCAGGUGACAAAGUGGCAGGCAGAGUGAGGGAAGGGCAUUUCUCCCUGUGCUCGAUCACAGUGGAGGAUGAUGGAACACUCCACCAAGCUCUGCCAGCCCCUCGACCCACUGGCCUCCACCCAGUGGCCCUCAGGGUCUCACAUAAGGACAUAAAGAACAUAUGAACAUAAAGAACACUAUGUCACAUUGUCGGCACACGAGUUUUACGGCUGUGAGGAUGCCAGAAAACAUGACUGUGGGCAAGGGAUCUAGAAGUGUUCAUAGAUCCAUACAGUAGGCUCCUGGGGCUGUCCAGGUUUAGCUGGGGAGACUGGAGGUCUUAUGGUCUGUGCUGCUGGUGAGAUGGCCUCAUCUGCUCACACAUGUGGGUGAACCUGAGGAACUUGGGACCAUAAGCUCAGCUCCAGUUGAACAUCCAGAGGAAUACUACCUUUUAUGGAUACGAAUGUUCUUGUCCUUCUCCCGAUGAAGUAUCAAGCAUCUUUUAAAGAAGGCUUACCAUAACAGAAAUAUAAAUUUAUUCAAGACUUGGGUGAAGGAGACUGUUUUGAUAAUUCAAAAAGGCAGAGAAAAACUCAGGGAACUACAUUCCACUUGGGAAGUGGAUUGUUUCUUCUGUUUUGCUCAAAUCAGUUCUAACACACCCUAGUGAGCAUGAAUGAGCUGGAAGGGUUCUCCAAAUUUGCUUUAGUGCAUCGAACAAUUAACAGGCUUCAACAUACAGACCUCAAAAUAUGCACUGUAAGAUGUUGUCAGGGAGACCUCUUAUCAAUCUUCCCAUCACGGCUUUGCUUCCUUUCCUGUCUGAACCUGGGAUCUAAGGUCCAUGGCUCCAACCACUGUCUGCCUUCAGUGUUCUCUCAUGUCCUUCACGCCUUGCCUUUCCACAAAUCCUGCUCAGCAAACCCCACUCUUAGACCUACUGGAUGGUCCACCACUUCUGUGCUGGUAUCUGCACUGAUGAGAGCUGCCUAACCCCUACUCCUCUUUCCCCGGAAAGAUGCUCUAGGCAUUUAUUCUGUAUGUUCAACACUUCCCUCUCCACUGGCUCCUUCUCCAAAGCCUACAAACAUGCUCGACACUCUCCCUUUUUGAGAAGACAGUCAACUUUCCCUUAGCUAUAGUGUAUAUAGCUCCCUCCUUUAAUACUCAAACCCAGGAAAAAUCAGUCUAUAUUUCAUCUCCCUAUCUUCAACCAGAGCAAUCUGCUGUCCUGACCCAUCUCCCUGGAACCUGCCCUGCACUCCACAGAACCCAGCACUCCACGGAGCCCGCCCUGCUGAGACAAAGGUUAUCCAUUCAUGUUAUAAAUCCAACUGAAUUUUUCUUUGGGACACAUUUUACUUUCUCUUUCUGGAAUAUUUGACUCUGCUGACUACCCCCUCUAUACCCAUUUUUUAAAAAUAUGAAAUUUCCCUUUGCUUUAUACACAUAUUUUAAUCUGACUUCCAUGACACUGCUCUCUCCUGAAAUGUCCUCUGUCUCUUGCUUCUAGGUGAAGCUUGCCUCAUCUUUUCUGAUUCAAAUAUCAUUUCCCAGUGAAUCCUUUCUUGAUCCUCCCAGAUAAAAAUGGCCACUCCCUCCUUCCUAUCAUUUAGCAGAGACUUUCUUACAGUCCCCAUAGCACAUCACUGACUGUGUCCACGAGCCUCUGAAAGGAGGCAACUGGAGAUUGCUUGUGUUAUUUAAAUAUUCUCAAAUGCACAAAAGCCAAAAUGUGCCCAAGUGAAACAAAGUACAUCUCAAGGCUGGCUUUAUCCUAGGGGUUGCUGAUUUGUGAGCCUGAUCUAGAAGAACAUCCAAGCAACAGUUGGGAAUAGGCCCAGUGCCCUUUCAAGGGUGGAGCCUAGGAAUCCCAAAGAUUGCUUCAGAGUUGCUAACUUUUUUUCUGGCUGGUUUUAUGAGCAGAAGACUUUAAAGGUGGCAGUUCCUGAAAUAUGCCAUAAGAAAAAGAGAGUGCCAAGUAUAUAAACAAGUGUAACUUUUUAAAAAGUUAUUUGUAAUCAAAUAUUUUAGAAGACACUGGGCGAAACAAAACAGCUAGGUCCAUAUACGGAGAAGGUAGCUGUAUGUGUCUUAACUCCACCUGUCUCUUGCACCAGUCUGACUUCAGACACAAGGUUUGGAACUGAAUGAAUUACAGGUACAGUUUGCAGGUGAUUUUGAUGCUCUAGAUCUAGUUCUUUUGGAAAAACUUGUUAAAGAACAUAUAUUCGUGUCACUCCAGUUCGAACUGGUUUGGUGUGUGUGUAGUUUGUUUAUUGAGGGGGGAAAUGCGUUUUACUUUAUAGUUCAGUCAAAAUUAAUGGAUAAUGAGGAUAAUAAUUUGAGCAUAUUAAAUCCAUUUAUUUUCAUCUGCAGUAGCCUCAUUCCUCACUGCACUGCAGCUCCCAAACCAAGAGCACAGUCUGGCAAACCUGCACAAGGUUCCUUCCACCAUAUAGAGAAGCCGCUGCUGCCUGUGACUGACAGGUUGGGAGGUCUACUGCCCUGGGGAAGAAGGCAGUCACGGCAGAAAAGGAGUUUCCAACAGAAGAAGUAGAAAUCCUGGUCAAGCCUCCUAUGGAAAGUAGAAAGAAGAGAGGCAGAGGAAUUGCAGCAAAUGAUCAGGUACGUGUGUCCUGACCCUCCAGCAGCCCAGAGCAGACGAGAAAGCCCCCAGCAGAGGGGUUUAGUUCCCUCUCCCUCUCUGGAACUCCACAAGGGUGAUCUCUCAUGGAAUGAGCCUGAGGCUGCAGUCGAAAGAAAAAAAUGAUGGUGUGGUACUGUUCGUGUGAGUGUCUGAGGUGGCAAUCCUGACAUUCCCUUGGCAUUCAUGCACCAUGGAAGAAUCCAGAAAUUUCCUGUACCCCAUGGGAACAAGAAAGGUGGCCAAAGAAGUGAACUGGAACACUGCCAGAAAGGUUGCAGAAGCCUUGGCAAAGUGACCAGUAGCCCUUGAAGGCUGCAGGGCAGAACUUCCAGAUCAGGGAUUGCUCACGAAUGACAACCUGAACCCAGGAAUGGGUCUGCAGUGCUGUCAGGAGCUGAAGGGGAGGCCUAUUGAGGAGAGCUGCCAACCCUACUUGAGCUAAGAGAACAAACCACAAAAAUAACUGAUAGGGGUCUCAUCAGCAGAAAGCAGCUCAGAGACCAGAUCCAAGCAGUACACAACCCUACCCAGAUCACCAAAGAGACCAGAAUAUUCCAGGGACACUACACAGGCCCAAGAUCCCUGUCCUUCACCACUGAGGUCACACAGGCUCCUGGCCCUGCACACCAGACAUCAUGGAAAGAAGAGGGAGCGAGGUAGAAACAGCUCAGAUAUUGUAUGUGUUAUCUGUCGCUGUGUGACAAAUUAGCCCAACAUUUAUUGGCUUAAAACAACUCUAAAUAUGUAUUAUCUCCUAUAGCUUGUCCGAGUCAGAAAUGUGAGAGUGGUUUAGCCAUUGCCUCUGUCUUGAGGAUCUCUCAUGUGGCUGCAGUCAAGAUUUGGACCAGGGUGACAGUUAUCUGGAGCUUUGACUGGCAUUGGAGGAUCCACUUUGAAGGUGGCUCACUCACUCGUCUUCCAAGUUGGUGCUGGUUGUUGACAGGGAGUUGCUGCUUAAGUGUCUUCAUGACAUGACAACUGGCUUCCUCCAGAGAGGGUGAUCCAAAAGACCAAAGUGGAAGCAGCAUUGUCCCCAGAAUUCUGACAGCAUGACUUCAGCCAUAUUCUAGUGGUCACAAAGAAAAGCCCUGGUGUCAUGAUGAAGGGGAUCCCGCAAGGGUACGAAUCCCAGGAAGUGAGGCUCAUUGGGGGCCAUCUUGGAACAUGGUUACCACAGUGAGGAAUUCAUUUUUGAACUGACUGAAAAAUCACCAGAAAAGUGAUUGAUUUAACCAGAAGAGGUUGGAAAGUUCCUGACUAUGAAAAUUCUAAAAUUCUGUCAUACGAAGACACUUACACCUUUAACUUGAAAUUUUUCAUUUUUCCUGAUCUACCCAGGCUUGAGAAGCAAAAUUGAUAAUGGUUAGUUGGAGAACUGUAAAAAAAAAAAAAAAAGUUAAAAUGUAAUGUUUGCCCGGUGCUGAGUUGUGGCUGUUCAAGCAAAUCUAUUUCAGAUGUUAAUUUGGGUGAAGUUCCAUUUUUGACAAAUGAAUAUAGUUUUUUCUAGUUU